rnacentral:rRNA from 1 species
CACGUAGGGGGCGAGCGUUGUUCGGAAUUACUGGGCGUAAAGGGCAUGUAGGCGGUCUUGUAAGCUUGGCGUGAAAGACCAUGGCUCAACCAUGGGAUUGCGUUGAGAACUGCGAGGCUUGAGUGACGGAGAGGGAGCUAGAAUUCCUGGUGUAGGGGUGGAAUCUGUAGAGAUCAGGAAGAAUACCAAUGGCGAAGGCAAGCUCCUGGCCGAUGACUGACGCUGAGGGACGAAAGCCAGGGGCGCGAAC